rnacentral:rRNA from 1 species
UACGUAGGUGGCAAGCGUUAUCCGGAUUUACUGGGUGUAAAGGGAGCGUAGACGGUAAAGCAAGUCUGAAGUGAAAUGCCAGUGCUCAACACUGGAACUGCUUUGGAAACUGUUUGGCUGGAGUGCAGGAGAGGUAAGUGGAAUUCCUAGUGUAGCGGUGAAAUGCGUAGAUAUUAGGAGGAACACCAGUGGCGAAGGCGGCUUACUGGACUGUAACUGACGUUGAGGCUCGAAAGCGUGGGGAGCAAAUAGG